AAAAAAACAAGUGCAACGGUUUGCUACUCGCCACUUCAACACGGUCGGGCACCUCCGUGUCAAUGGAUAAACUCUCUUAUCAAGGUUUUAGGUGUUACCAAACAUCUCCCCAUCCGCUGGCAUGGCACCAUGACAGAUUUAUUGUGAAGAUGAAAGCUCACAAGAGUGUGCCCCGUAACACACAGCAUGGCUGUCAGACCAGGGGGAGACUCGUUGUGAAGUCCUACGAGUAUGUUAAAUUGCGGCACUAGCAGACCAAUAGGGAGACUCGGGAAGAUGAAAAGUUGUACGAGUACGUUAAAUGGUGGUGCUGGCUGACCAGCUGACCAGUGAGGCAGGCGGGAAGAGUCGUCGCCAUAAAGAAGACCAUUUUAAAUGUUUUGAGAUGAUAUGUGUUCUGAUUAUUGUUGUAUAGUCUUAAUAAUUAAGUACAUUAACUUUUAUUUUUAUAUUUACACAUUUAUUUUCCACUGGCACAAUGUGUUAUCUGUGAUUUUUACUUUUAGGUUAUAUGUAUGUUCACUGAUGAAAUAUGGUUAAUAUGCUGGUAAUUCUGUGUUAUUGAAGUUCAGCUGUGAAAUAUAAAAGAUGAUUUGUGAAUAAAGCUGUUGGUGUGAAGCAAUAACAAAUUAAAAUAAAAAAAUAAUAGUACACUUAAAACUACUGUACUUAGUUUCACAGUAAUUUUAUUGUGGUAUGAAAUACUGCAACUAUGGGAUAAUAUU